rnacentral:tRNA from 1 species
GUUAACUCAGUUGGUAGAGUGUCGGCCUUUUAAGCCGAUGGUCCAGGGAUCAAGACCCU